rnacentral:rRNA from 1 species
CCAGACUCCUACGGGAGGCAGCAGUGAGGAAUAUUGGUCAAUGGGCGGGAGCCUGAACCAGCCAAGUCGCGUGAGGGAAGACGGUCCUACGGAUUGUAAACCUCUUUUGCCGGGGAGCAACGGGGUCCUUGCGAGGGCCCGAUGAGAGUACCCGGAGAAAAAGCAUCGGCUAACUCCGUGCCAGCAGCCGCGGUAAUACGUAGGGAGCAAGCGUUGUCCGGAUUUACUGGGUGUAAAGGGUGCGUAGGCGGCUUUGCAAGUCAGAAGUGAAAUCCAUGGGCUUAACCCAUGAACUGCUUUUGAAACUGCAGAGCUUGAGUGGAGUAGAGGUAGGCGGAAUUCCCGGUGUAGCGGUGAAAUGCGUAGAGAUCGGGAGGAACACCAGUGGCGAAGGCGGCCUGCUGGGCUCUAACUGACGCUGAGGCACGAAAGCGUGGGUAGCAAACAGGAUUAGAUACCCGGGUAU